rnacentral:rRNA from 1 species
AUUGAACGCUGGCGGCAGGCCUAACACAUGCAAGUCGAACGGUAACAGGAAACAGCUUGCUGUUUCGCUGACGAGUGGCGGACGGGUGAGUAAUGUCUGGGAAACUGCCUGAUGGAGGGGGAUAACUACUGGAAACGGUAGCUAAUACCGCAUAACGUCGCAAGACCAAAGAGGGGGACCUUCGGGCCUCUUGCCAUCGGAUGUGCCCAGAUGGGAUUAGCUAGUAGGUGGGGUAACGGCUCACCUAGGCGACGAUCCCUAGCUGGUCUGAGAGGAUGACCAGCCAAACUGGAACUGAGACACGGUCCAGACUCCUACGGGAGGCAGCAGUGGGGAAUAUUGCACAAUGGGCGCAAGCCUGAUGCAGCCAUGCCGCGUGUAUGAAGAAGGCCUUCGGGUUGUAAAGUACUUUCAGCGGGGAGGAAGGGAGUAAAGUUAAUACCUUUGCUCAUUGACGUUACCCGCAGAAGAAGCACCGGCUAACUCCGUG